rnacentral:rRNA from 1 species
GUGGGGAAUCUUGCGCAAUGGGCGAAAGCCUGACGCAGCCAUGCCGCGUGAAUGAUGAAGGUCUUAGGAUUGUAAAAUUCUUUCACCGGGGACGAUAAUGACGGUACCCGGAGAAGAAGCCCCGGCUAACUUCGUGCCAGCAGCCGCGGUAAUACGAAGGGGGCUAGCGUUGCUCGGAAUUACUGGGCGUAAAGGGAGCGUAGGCGGACAUUUAAGUCAGGGGUGAAAUCACGGGGCUCAACCUCGGAAUUGCCUUUGAUACUGGGUGUCUUGAGUGUGAGAGAGGUAUGUGGAACUCCGAGUGUAGAGGUGAAAUUCGUAGAUAUUCGGAAGAACACCAGUGGCGAAGGCGACAUACUGGCUCAUUACUGACGCUGAGGCUCGAAAGCGUGGGGAGCAAACAGGAUUAGAUACCCUGGUAGUCC